GCAUCCAUAGCUCAGUGGCAGUGCGGUGGGUCGUUGACCCAUGCGGCCUGGGUUCUAACCCCGGUCGAUGCA